GUUUUGUUUUAUUUUAUUUUCCUGCAGAAAGUUCCAGAGCCCUUAAUGGGCAUUAUAAGUGUCCAAGAAGGGGCUGGAGCACAUCACUCCAAGUGUAUUUGGCCAAGGAAGGGUUUUUCCAAGAUCGCUUCCCACUGAGCACUUUAGGAAAUGUUGUUCAGGGCUUCCCUUACAAUCUUCCCCACAAAAUUCCCCACAGAGUUUUCAGAGCUGCUUCCUCCAGGCAUUUUAUUUCUUUUAGAAAUUAUGAUAUAGAUACAGAUAAAUACAUAUAAAAUAAAUUUCUCUGAAGACCAAGGUAAGACGUUCAUGACAGAAAACUUGGAGAAUGGAGAAAAAGACAAAGAGGAAAAUCUAAAACCAAGGAAAAGUGAAUAGCAUUCCUGUCCUGAAAGCAUUUUCUACUGAAAAUGGGUUAAUCCUGCCGAAUUUCUGCUACUUGUGGAGACCUUUCCAGAUAAAAUCAUGCCUUGUUGUCCCACAGGUCACAGCUGUACUUCCUCCAUUUCGCCUAUUGAACCCACUGAGCAAAGAUCACUUGCGCUCAUCUUUGCGCCCUACGUAGCCUCCAGCAGGUUCUAGUCCUCAUCAAAAUCAACACCCAACAAAGCAAAUAUAAAAUCUGAAUAGGUGCUGUCAACAUGCAGAAAUCACCAGCGGGCUGGAGGAGUGCCCCGGGGCUCAUGAUGAGGGUUGUCACCUUUUACCAGGCACCAAUAGAUUUAAUGGAAGCCAAAAGACUUCCGGUGUUGAACAGACCAAGGGGAUAGAGAGGGGCAUCUGAAUUUUGGUGUCCUUGUGGGCAAAAUGAAGAGAUUGGAUUAUAUAGUACCUGAAGUCUCUUCCAUUGUGAACAGUCAACACAAUCACCAUUGCUAAAUUAUUAGACCAAAAUUCUUAUUUUGAAAAAUGCCUAAGAGAAAGUAACACCAACAGUAAAGACAGCCAAAUCCACCAUCUCUCUCAAAGUAAUUAAAUUCUCCCUCCUUCCUACCUUCUCAUAUACUUUACCCAGAUGAAAUCAGAUUUUCAAGGAAAGUAUUUAGGGGAUAAGGAAGUUACCAAAGGACAACACAUGAGCAGGCUAGGGAAUCUCUAGGAGGAAAUACAUACAGAGCUGCCCCAUUUUGCUUGGAACCAGCUCUGCUUGACCCCUGCCCGUGCUCUUCACUAUUCCAUGCUCCCUCCCAACUAGCAUUUUCAGUUGAAAAUGAGGCAAUAACAUUUAGGCUAACUAGGAACAAGAAUAUUAAAUGAGAUAAUAUGUAAGUACUAAGAAAAAAAGGAGGGGGAGUGGUACUCAAUGAAGUUAGUCGUUGUUAUUUUAAGUAUAACUUUUCAAGAAAUUAUAAUAUUCCAAGGCCUGGAAACCAGAGAAAAGAGAAAGGGCAGAAAUAUUGUGUGGCUUUAGUAAUAUGAUGACGCAGGGGGUUGUUCUCUUUACCAGCUGCCAAGUGGGAUCCCCCUGCAAAGUUCCAUGAGGGAUGUCACUCAAGAAAGGCAAUCGCCAGGGCUAGAAAUGAUACCACAGUAGUGUCACUACUCAUUUCCUUACACUUAAAAUAUUCACCCCGAAGACCAGUUCAUUUUCUUUGGAAAUGUGUCUUAAAUCAGGUCUCUAUUAUUUUCCUCACUCACAGUCAACAUCUGCCAGUUCAGCGUCAUAGCUGCAACCUCAGCAGUCCCCAUGGGGCUUCCUGUCUUCAGCCUUCCUCAAGGCUUCCCAGGGCCAUCAAAUUCACUGUCCUACUUUGCACUUUGAUCUUUGAUCUUCCUCCCCUACGUCAAAUCCCUCUCAGUCUCCCUCUAGGUAUAGAAUUAAUUCCGAACUCUCCAGCCCAGCACAUGACGCUCUGUAUAGUCUAAUAGUCCACUCUCCGCCUUUCCUUUCACUGCUAGCCAUUGCCUGGACCCAACCAAAAGCCAGAAGGCAGGUCAGCCCAUUGAGGCAGUCCGUUCCUCAGUCUCUUAUGGCACAGAGCAGCUGGAAAGGAUAGGAAGCGGAUCUGGAGGGAAAAGGGGAGAAUAACCAGCACGGCCACUAUCGUAGGUUUUUAAAUGUAGAAAUGUAGAAAAUCGGACUUAAAAGCACCUGAAAAAAAUAGAAGUUAACUUUCCUGUAGUCUUGGGGGUAGGCCUUUGUAAGCACAACCAAACCCGACAGAGCUCGGGCUCGACCCAGGCAGUUUGUCUCCAGAGCUUUAGACACUUAAAUAUGUAAAUACAUACAAAUUAAAAUAAAGAGCUUUUAUAGAUAAAAAAAAUCGGUAAGUAUAUUGUAAAAGUCCAAAAAUUGUUCAAUGUCAAUAAUCAAGGAAAUUUAAAUACAUAUGUGACACUUUUAAUCUAUCAGAUUGGCAAAACAUUAAAAUAAUCUAUCAUCUGCUAUUGUCCCAGGGGCGAUUCAAUGCACAGAAGUAUACGUUGAGACAACUUUCUUGGGGUCAAGUGGGCAACAAAUAUCAAAACCCUUAAAUUUUUUGUACCCUUAGACUUUGAUCCUAAAGAAUAAAGUAUGAUUACGCACAAAGACUUAGCAACAAAGAUUUUUAGGACAGAAGUAUUUAAAAUGAUAAAAUGUUGGAUAUAAAUUAAAUGUCCCUAAAAAAAGGUACAGUCAAAUAAAUUAUGAUAUAUCUACAUGACAAAAUACUACACAACCAUGAAAUAUGAUAUUCUAGAAGAUUGUAUGACACGGAAAAAUAUUCAGACAUAUUAUUGAGAGAAAAAGAAGUUCAAAAAACAUUGUAAACAGCAUAAUACUGCCUAUGUGAAAAUAUGCAUUUAAAAAGCCUAAAGAAUAAUAUAACAUGUUAUCAGUGGAUAUCUUUAGGUGGCAAGAUUCAAGUGGUUUUUAUAUAUUUAUUUGUUGCUUAUCAGUAUUUUUCAAAUUUUCUGCAUGAAAUACUUUUGCAAUAAGAAAAGCACAAUAAAAACAUUAUAAAUUAAUGGCAAAUUGCUUCUUUUAUAUGCAGAAUGAUUUUGUACAUGAUUGUGAGCUGCCAGAUGAUGCCAUCCAGGCUGUGCGCUUACAGCUCCAGUAGACACAUUCUCAAGUUAGAACUUAUUUUCAAAUAAAAUGUAAAAUCAUAAUAAUCUACUAUAAUUCAAAAUAAUUUUCUAAAUACAAAAAAGGGGCAACAAGAGAUAUAAGUGACUUCAUCACAUCCAAAGCUGGCAGCAUGAAGACAAGGACACUGACCUCCUCGCUCGCCCUUCUGGGCUGCAGCCUUUAGGCCGCGCUGCUUUGUACCAAAACUUCCAAUGCCUACAAAACCCUUUGUGAAACUAAACCACAGAAAGAAAGAACCCUUGUCUAGCAGCUGAAGGCAAACUGCCAAUCUAUUUCCAUCCUUCAUCUAAUUCUCAGUUGGCUAGCUAAGUGAAAAAGGUAACCAGAGACAGGGGAGAAGGCCACUGAUAAGAAUGAUAGAUAAGUAAAUAAAACAUUCAUAAGAGGCAGUUCUCUACAUCUCAGACCCAUUUUAUGUGAGUCUCAGUGAACAUGGCUGCUUAAAGAACCAAUGUUGCACAAAACAAAUGGACAAUGGGACAAAAAUAAUGACGCAAUGCAGAUGUGCAUAUUAUAAAACAUGGGAUACAAUAUGAGGAGUGUAAACCCAGAGAAGGGCUGCUUCUUUCAAGACCUGGGUCUUCCGGUUCCUCUGGAAGAGAACUUGUGCUAUUUGGAGAUACCUCCCUGGUGAAGCUGAGCACACUGGGCGUAGGAGGUGUGCCUUUCAUCCCUGCUGUGACUUACACAGUCCAAUCAAUUUCUAUUUGCUUUACCUUGGCAUUUAGUCCAGUAUUUUCUAAGUAGUAGGCACUUGGCAUACCUUUUAAACAGAUUCCUCUCCAAAAUGUGAGAAAAAAUCAUUUGAGGCUAGGAAAACUAUUUCUUCCUUUUGGUGUUCAAGUGCUGUACGAUCCAGUAGAGGUCAGCCUCUCACAAUUGAUUCAAGGACACAGAGAAGCCCCUCCCUCCCAACCUUGUCACCCUCAAAUCCUCCCCUUUUCGUUCAUGGUAUAGUGGAAAGAAUCCCACAGAUAGAAGUCAUUGCAUGAUGACUGGGGGUACGUUAUUUAACGUCUGUAAGCUUCAGUGACCUGUAAAAAGAGGGAGGAAAGUGGGGAAGCAUUUUAUAAGUUAUAUAAUAGAAUCCAGCACAAUACCUGACACAAAAUACCUGCCAGUGAAUAUGGUUUCCUUGCUUUUUUUCCUUCUUCCUUAAAAUCUCUCCAUUCCACCAUCAGAGGUAAGACAAAUUCUCCUACAAGAGGUCCUGAUGGGCUUAAGUUCAUACUGAGUUAUCAAUCACCAAUAGUAGAUCUUUUCUUGAAAACUGUUUCUAAAGGGAAGAGAGAAUCAGGUGCCAGCAAGAGAUGGAAGACAAAGAGGGAGGAAGUAUGGAAAGGCCAGGGUGGAGCAGAAAGAAAACACUUGUGUUGAAAGCUAAAUCAACAUCACCUAGUACUGGUUCUCAGAACACCAAAAUCGGGAGAAAAGAGAUUCAAGGUUUUAGGAACUAGACAUACAUACUGAAGUCUAGUGAUUAUAUAAAAUAUUCUUAAGGUCAAAAUCACAAAAGACAUUAGAGGACAGGUGCUGGGAACCCUGGCUCCUGGCUCCAACCCCCCUCCACCUCCUGCAGGAGCAGAAUAGUACGCUUGUUGAAAGCAACGAACACGGGCACAGGGUUCUGCUCUCCAUCCUGCCACGGAGUCUGCACAGCCUUGGACAAAUUCUCCCAUCAGCGAAACGAGGAUAACAAGGACUCACUAAUGAAUAACUGAGCAGAUAAGUAAGACAGUACAUGCAGAACAUAUAGCACAAUGUCUGGCAGUUUAGGUUCUCAAAAGAUGGGAAUCCCUAGGGGUUAUCUGUGUGAUCCUAGGAGGCACGUCCUCCCUGGACAUCAGCUUCCUCAUCUCUAGAAGGGGACAUAAGGAAUCGAAAGAUAACCUCUAGGGUCCUUCCAGAACUAAAACUUGUCUAAGCCUCAUGCAGAGGCCCAGCCUCCCUCGGCUCAGCUCUCCCGAGGAGCCGGCAGCUUGAACUCAGGGACGUGGCCCACAGGCCACAGCCUAAGGUUUGACAGCUGUUUCCAUCAGGCAAAGCAAUAGGACAAUGUGGCAAAAGAAUCCGUGAGAGAGAAGGAUUCAGUGCAGCCCAAUUUGAAGGAAAGACUUUGUCAAGAUCAUUUUGAAAAAGAAACGUGACUUCCUCUUUUUUCAUUUGAGGUCAAGAAACAAGAAGGGACACCCAGCUGAGCUGAGUCUCUGGGGCUUCUGCAGGAUCACAUGUCUCUUCAGAAAUGCCAUUUUAACUGAUGUAAGUGUGAAGGAGUUGGAACCCCAGGGAUUAAAUUUCUGCUGAAAUACACAUGUUUUUCGAAAAAAAACAAAAAACAAAAAAGAGCUCUUGACCCAGGGAAUGCAAAGCCUUUUGGAAAGCGUCCUAAGCCUGAUAUGGAGGGUAUCAGAUGCCGCUGGCCGGCCGGGGCUCCCCUCGUGCUGUAGGUUAGCAUGGGACCACCUGGCCGUGCUGGCCUCGGGGCCAGGGAGGGGGAGAGAGACACCUGUCUCAGCUUGUCUCACAUAUACGAACACACAUUCCUAGGCCUGGGGACUUUUCCCCCCACAAAGACAUGUUUUAUGACUACACUUGCAUUUUUAUGACAAAACAAUUCCACACUCGUCUGAAAGGAAGUGGGGUCUAAGUAGCCUGGGAGACUAGACACCUGGGUUCAGCCUAGUCCUGUCGCAGCUCUUCUCACCUGCUGGCCAUGCUGCUGGGGGCCAGGCUUCUCCCCUGUGAGUGGGUUGGAGUGUGUGCCCUGCCAGCCUCCUUUGGGGACAGAGUCAGCUACAGCUUGUGGCAAAGGCUAUUCGACUCUCACUGCCAUCCCCGUGCCACCACACGAUUCAUGGUCACCGUACAUUAGUUUGCAUUUCCUAGAAUUGUAUAUAAAUGAAAUCCUACAGUAUGUACUGUUUUUUUUGUCUGGAUUUGCAUUCAGUAUAAUUAUUUUUAGAAUUAUCUGUGUUGUGCGUACCCAUAGUUUGAUCCUUUUUGUUUACUGCAAUUUACUUGUCAAAAUUCACCUCUGGAUGAGUAGAUACUUUGGCUGUUUCCAUUCUGGCUUACUACAAAUAAAGCUGCUGUGAAUAUUCUGUGCAAAAUAAAAAGACUACGUGGCUCUCAGAAAGAACGUCCGGUUGCAAGUCCUGCAUGUUACCUCACCUCUCUGAGCCUCGGCGUUUCCAGCUAUCAAAAAGGUGCAACACAUCCUCCACCCCAGUUGUUGUGAGAAUUAAGUGGCAUAAAGAUGCAAAGGUUUUUUUAAUACAGUAUAAAGAGGGGCCUGCCCGGUGGCACAGCAGUUAAGUUCACACAUUCCGCUUGGCGGCACGGGGUUCGACCGUUCAGAUCCUGGGUACGGACAUAUGCACUGCUUGGCAAGCCAUGCUGUGGUAGGCAUCCCACAUAUAAAGAGAGGAAGAUGGGCACGGAUGUUAGCUCAGGGCCAGUCUUCCUCAGCAAAAAAGAGGAGGAUUGGCGGUAGAUGUUAGCUCAGGGCUAAUCUUCCUCAAAAAAAAAAAAAAAAACCACAAAAAAAUAAAAUAAAAUAAACUAUUAAAAAAAGUAUAAAGAUAUUCAUUUUCCCUUCAGUAAUUAUUCAUUCAUAAUCAAAUAACUGCUGGUUGAAGGUAAUGGGAGGAUUUCUGUGAGUGUGCGCGCACGCGUGUGUGUGUGUGUGUGUGUGUGUGUAUGAGAAGACACUCUGCACAGAACAGGGGGACAUAAACAAGUGCAAUUCAGUGCCAUCAUCCAUGUGGGGCAAAAGGGGUAAGCACUGAAAAAGAUGAAUAAAUUCCACUAGACAGCAAGGUGAGAUGUCCCAGGGAAGCACAGGGAUCAGAACCCUGGACGGUUAGAGCCAGAAAGGAAGUUGGGAGUGUGAACCGCACUAGUCAGGAAGCCUUCGUGGAGGACAUGAGGUCAUCUGGGUCCUUCAAGCAGGACAGGAAGGACGUGAUGGGGAGCACAUAAUUGGUCAAGGACCUGCCCACACCCUGUUGUCCUGAGUGACAGUGUAAAGAGGAGUCAAAGGGGGGCCCCAGGAGUGCUUAUUUCACAAAUCCUUCUCACCGCAUUAGGACAAGUGCUUAGCAAACUUUCCACAGUGUCUUUUCCAAUCAAAACAGGCCUGUGUCAUGCUGUUGCUAGGCCUGAGGGUUUUCAGUCCCGCCUGGGCAAUACAGACGGCCCAAAAGAGAUGAGCCCUCAUGUCUCUCUGCGUGAGGGAGAAGGAUGCUUGAAAGCCUCAGCAGUUGGUAGCAGCAGGAACCCCCAAGGCCAGAGGGAGGGUGGGGGUGGGAAAGAGAAGAACUGGCUGGAAAUCUGUGUAGUGGGUAGAUGGACACCUAGGACUCCUCCCCGAGCCUGCACAGCCAAAAGUUGCCAUCUCCCACCCUGGCAGAAGAUGGGAGAACUAUUCUCUGCACAGGUUAUAUGAAGAAGCUCUGGAAACAGGAAUACCAGGCACAGCUAUGGGCAGGAAUGAGACAUUGCAUAGAACACAGGGGCAUUGAUAAGAGUCUAGAAAAUGAAUGGUGGGCACCACUCCUCCACCUUGCCCUAGUUAACCCUCAGAAAAGUGGCAAGCAGGCAUACAGCCUGGAAACAAAAGAGCUCCUCUCUGAGGAAGCUGAGAGGUCCAAAGAGGGGGAAGGGACCAAACAACACCUAGAGAUAUUGAUGUUUGAUCACCAAGAAAUCACCCAGAUUCUUACUUGAAUAUCCUAUAGUGGCGUCCAGCAAUCAGAGAGCCCUGCCCACACACAGCUAUUCCACUCAGCCUUUGAGCAGUUCGUCCUUUGUAAGGCCAGUCAACACAUACUGAGACUUGAGGAAUGCUUGUAACAUAAAAGACAGACAAAGAAAGAUAAUAAACGUAAUAGAAGAAAAAGUUUAAACAUACUCAAUAUAGCAUAACAGAUAUAACAAACAAUGAAACAAGAUCAAGAUCUAUAAAACAGACUGCUAUUUGUUGUUGAAUAGAGUGCUAUUUAAGAAAGAGGUCUUGCACAAUUAGAAGGACCUGCAACUAAGAUAUACAACUGUGUACAGGGGGGAUUUGGGGAGAUAAAGCAGGAAAAAAAAAAAAAAGAUUGGCAAGAGUUUUUAGCUCAGGUGCCAAUCCUUAAAUAAAAAAAGGAAGAUUGGCAACAGUUGUUAGCCCACGUGCCAAUCUUUAAAAAAAAAAGAAAGAGGUCUUGCAAAUUUAAAAGCAUGCUAGCAGAAGUUUAAAAACGUAAAAGGUUAGAACAGAAAGUUGAGACACUCUCAUAGUAAGCAUCACAAGAAGAAAAAGAGAUAAGAAACAUCAGGCAAGAAUAUAAGGAAAUUAGACAAUCAAUCCAAGACGUACACGAGAUAUAUUGUAGGAGUCCUGGAAAGAUAAACAAGGAAAAUGGAGGGGUUAAAAUUACCAAAGAAGUAAUGUAAGAAAUUUUCCUAAAGCUAAGUAGCAUUUCCAGAUCUAACACACCCACCAAGGCCUAACUCAUUGAAAUCACUGAUGGAAAAACCCACCCCACAUGGCCUCAUGGGAAAUUUUAUAACACCAAGGUUCCAGAGAAGAUCCUAACACUUCUAGGAACACUAGGAGUUGGAAAACUCUGUGCCAGUUAUUAAACCAUUGCCUCUCAGCCCUGUCCACCCACACUGGGACUCUGCCAACCAAGUUUCUCCUUUGAUGGCUGGUUUCCUGUUACAGUCUGUCAGUAGGUGGCCUAAAGGGAGACUAGAAGUCUAGAGAAGGGACAAGGACAUGCUCUUUCCUGUUUCCUUCUCUGCCUAUCAGCAUCAUCUCUGUAACAGCCCUUCCCCUGGCUGAGGCAGUGGAUCAGGCUCUAGGCUUUGGAAAGCUACCACAUGAGUUCUUCUACCGAGACAAGGGAGAAAACCAUGAAGACAGGAGACAUGGGAUCCAGGAGACAGCAGCUUCAGGUGGUGGAGAGAAAUCUUGGAUGACAGCUAUGCCACCGGAGAGAGCAGCCAGUCCAGAUUGGAGCAGGAGGAGAGAGGCAUCCAAUUAGAAAAGAGGAGAGUGAUAGCUUCCUCGAUGUCCUUAUCCAGACUGAGGGGAGUUCUACGAUUCUGUUGGAAAGAUUGAGGCUGACUUGGUGACCGGCACCUAGAAAAUGAAUAAAAAGCAAAAAUCAAAACUUUACUCCAAAGAAAACACAUGAUAGGAACGUGCACAAGAUAGAAAAUGCCUUCACAGUGUGCUACCUGGUUCAGCUGCAUACAAUAUUUACAUAAUCAUAAGAACGCUGACACAAAAUCCUAGUUGAACAGAAGCAUCCAACACAUCCAUAAUGAAUGCAGGGAGUGGAAAGGCUGAAUAAUGUCCCCCAAAGACAACAGACCCUCAUCCCUGGGACCUGUAACUAUUCCUUUAUUUGAAAAAGAAAAGUGUCUUUGCUGAUGUGAUUAAAUUAAGGGUUUUGAGAUGAGAUUAUUCUGGAUUACCAGGAGGGCCUUAAAUGCAAUCACAUACAUCCUUGUAAAAGGGAGCCCGAAGGAGAUUAGCCAAAAACACUCAGAGGAGAAGCCACAAUGUGCCAACAGAGGCAGAAAUCAGAGUGAUGUGGCCACAAGCCAAGGAGUGCUGCAGCCCCAGAAGCCGAGAGAGGCAGGAACGGACUCUUCCCCAGUGCCUCUGGAGGGAGUGCAGCCCUGUCAACGUCUUGAUUUGGGCCCAGCAAUACUGAUUUUAGACUUCUGGCAUCCAGAACUAUGAAAGAAUACAUUUGUUCUGUUAUUUCAAGCCACCAAGUGUGUGGUAAUUUAUUACAGCAGCCACAGGGCAUUAAUUCAGGGGAUGUAUGGGAAAAGAGAUGAAAUAGACAUAAAUUCACAUCUUCUCCAGUAGGAAGUCAAUAGAUUUUGUCUAAAAUGGAAAGAUCAGAAAACAGUAAUAAACAUAGGAGGGAACCGUCAGAAGAGUUAUUAGAAUAGUUCUGGGGACUGGACGUCACAGGUAGAGGGGGCCAUUGUUCGUUAGAAGACUGACAGUGCUAUCUGGCUUUGUAAACAAUGUGAAAUUUAAACUGUACUAACUUAAAAAAAAAACUUAAGGGGAGGAAACUGGAUCAAUUCAUCCCAUUUUUAAGAAGUAUUUUGUAAACCCUUCUGGUAGAGAGGAAGCGAGUCAGGACAAUAAAAAUCAGGGAGCGGAAGAGCUAGAAAGGCCUUUAUUAUGACCCCUUUGCGAGCAGGGCUCUCUGGAAGGCACCAUACAGGCAUUGUGGCUUCUGUGCCUCCCAACAACCUGCAAGACAGGCGUGAAUUCACAGAAGGAGGCUGAGCCUCAGGGAGAUGAAGUAACACUCCGCGACGUCGUGCAGCCGUCUGCCUCCAAACCUGUGCUCUGCUCUCCAUCACCUCUGCCUGGGGACCUCAGAGACGAGGCUCAGGAACUCGAAGGAGGCGGAGACUGUUGCCUGAGGGAAUAACACAGGCUUCAUGGGAGCUGUGACUCUGGGGUUUCAUAAAUGUGGAGAGAAUACCGGUUUCUUUGAGUUUUUACUACUUGGUUUCAUAGGAGACUCUUAAAUGCUAAAGACCACCUUGCCAGGUGAAUAUUAUUUUCAUAGUCUCCAUUUUACAAAAGAGAAGGCUAAGGCUUUGAGUAGUCAAGUUGUUUCUCUAAGUCGUAAAGGCAGUUCUUGAACUCAGGUUUUCAGCCGCCACAUCUUCUGCUCCUUCCAUCUCAUGAGGUAGCUAGAAACCCUUGCAGAACUGAACAGCACUCCAGACCAGCCCGCAGCGAGGCCUGCUCUGUGGUUAGAAGGGAAGGAGCCUAGGACAAGGCUGAGCACAGAAUGAAGGAGCUGGAAAGUAAAACAGGGUUCCAGAGCAUUCAGAGAGUCAAAUGAUGAAGUUAGCCCUACUGCCAUUGUCUCUCACCUACCCCAGCCCUUAUGAAAUCUGGAGCUACAUACUGACAAGAAAAAAAGGCAUUUCAAGGCAAGCAAAGUCCAGCUGGGAGCAGGACAGUCUGGCUAUAAGCAUUGAACCAAAGCCAAAAGAGAACAGAAAAAGUCUCUGUCAGAUGAUCCACCCAUUUAAACUCGAUCUGCCAAACCAGGGCUCCUUGUCUGUCUCGUUCCAAUUACCAGCCAUGCUCCCAGCAACCGACAUGCCGAAUCACCCUCCAGUGCCACAGCUGAUGGCUCAUAAAGCUUUGUGCUCAUCUAAUCCUCUAACAGCCUGGAGCUGUAUUAGUGUCACAGUAGCAAAUUCGCUCACGAAUUGGAACUUUAUUAUUUUACUGUACAAAAGUCAGCAGGGUUCUUGAAGGAACGGCAAGCUAUCUGUUAACCCUUUCCCAUCUCAUCUCCCAUAACUGCCAUCAGAAAAUAUGACUUCACAUCAAAUAAAUGCCUUUGGAUCAAACCCUCUGAAGCCUCCAGCACCAGUGUGAGUACAUAUUCAGAAAAGAAGGUCAGUUGUCCAGCUCAUGUGAUGUUAGGCGCAGCCAAAUCUCUCCAAAAAGGCAAACUCGGGUCAGGACCCAUGGCUGAGUGGUUAAGGUUCCACGUGCUCCACUUCAGUGGCCCUGGGUUCUUGGAUUUGGAUCCUGGGUGCAGACCUACUCCACUCAUCAGCCAUGCUAUGGAGGUGUCUCACAUACAAAAAACUAGAGGAGGAUUGGCACAGCUCAGGGCUCAUCUUCCACAAGCACAAAAAGAGGAGGAUUGGCAGCAGAUGUUAGCCUACCACUUACGAACUGGGUAACCUUGGAAAAGUUCCUUCAUCUCUCUAAGUCUAGUUUAUUGCCUGUAGAAUAGUCAAAUCACACUUCUCCCUAAGAGUAGAGAUGUAAGGAGACCAUGCAGGUGGGCGCAUUUAGCACUUUGAUCACCAGAGGGGAGGCACUUGCUAGAUGCCUGUCUUCUUCUUUCCUUGAUUCACUUUCCUGUCCAGAUUAAGUGGUUGCCAUUUUCUUUCGUUUCUUGUGGAAAAUUUUCCUGGAAAGGACCAAGAGAAAUUUGUGAACUUCUGGGUAUAAAUGAUCCUGCAGCUCAGCUUCUGUCCUUCAUAAGAAUAUGAUAUAUCUGGAGGUGGUUAGUGGAAUUUGAAAAUACCUGCCAAACUAAAUGUGUGCGGUUUUAAUGACACCCAGCUAUUGGAACCCGUGGAGCAGAGAUGCCGAAAAAGAUAGGAAAAUUCAGACAAAGGAUCUGGGAAAGGAUAAAUACAAGAUUUAUCAUCUCCAUAAUUUUGCCUGGAUACAGCUAAUUGCAAAAACUCUUUAGUAAGUAGUUAAAUGUCAAUUAAGUCAAUGAAGAAAUUCAUUGAAGGAUUUAUUUUGACAAAUGAAUAGUUGUUUGGGGCAGCACAAACGGAGACUGCAUGCAGUGUGAGGCAAUGAGGAAAUGAAAUUCCCCAGGCUGCUUCAUCCACGCGGGAGUUUGUGAUGGUGCAACGUGGAGAAAAACAGUCAGCGACUUACUGCAGGGUGUGGGCGUGGGGAGAGCUGAGACAGAAAAGCGUCUUUUCCAUUUCUUACUCAACCCAGAAAAUGUCUUCUUUUUACCAAAAGUAAGAAGAAUAAAAGAUUUCUCCCACUGAGAUGCCACAGAAUGCAAAUCAACAGAGAGAGAAGUUUCUCCUGGGUCUAGGCAGCUGCAGCAGGCGCCUGACAGAGACUGGAAAAGAACCUGAAUGCCUUGAGCCCAGCGUUGCACAGAGUGGCCACUGCAGGGUCGAGAAGUACUGUGAGUGUUAUUACUGUUAAGUGCUAACAUUUACUGAAACCAUACGGAAUGGAAACAUGGCACUGUCUCGUUUGAUCCUCACUACUAGACUAUCCUUAUGUCCAUUUUAGAAAGAGAGUGAGGUACACACAGAAACAUGUCCACUUAGGAUAUUCUUGAGUAUACAAC
rnacentral:lncRNA from 1 species